CUGCUGUUGUGCAGUGAUGAUUUAUUUAUAGUCAGUUUUUCCCUGUUUUUGCUCUUGACUCUUUCUCGCAUAUCCAUCCAUAUAUUUAUAUAUAAUUAUUUGAUGCUCCAUCCCAUUCCAUCUCCCAAAGUACCACCUGGCGUUGCGUGUUCAGCUCCUCCAGACUGGACCAAAAAAAAAGUGUUUGCCUUCGUAAUCUUUAAUCCAAAUUUGAAAAUGCACCUCCCCCUCGGAAAUGACUGGCCUUCUCUGAUGACGUCAGUUUGACGGUUUGGGUUUAAGCAGAAGCCACGCCCCUCCUAGUGUGCCGCGUGAGCUUCGACACAGCGCGCGAAGGAGAAACCGCGUAGUUAACAAACAGAAAUGGCGAGGAGGUGCGUUUUAGGUUGUGGUUCUCCCGAAACCCUUUUCCCAAUCCCCAAAAUACCCUGGUUGCGGUCACGAUGGCUCGUUUUUUUGCACUUCGAGGAAGGGGGGAUAUCAGAGAGGUCGCGGUUGUGUUCGAAGCACUUCACACGCGAAUGCUUCAAGAAUUGGACACAACACGAAAUGGGGUUUGUGAAAUAUCUGUCACUAACCGAUACGGCUGUCCCAUCUGUCUACACCGUUGGUUCCUCACAAAGUUUGAAGCCCCUAACAAGAGAUGUGGCAUGUCAAUGUGAUGCACCAUAUUUGAAGAGUGUGUCGAUACAAACAAUAACACAAAAGCUGAAAAGACGGAGUAAAGCGAUUCAAGUGAAGCCUUUUGGACACUCUGUUGGCAUCUCUUGUUCCGAGAGUGUUGGCACAAGUCUUGAACCUCGGUAUUUCACAUCAACACCAAUUAAAAGGCCACAAAUUGAAGACACCACGAUCAAUGACAGCUCAACAUGCACCUCAAAGCAAUUGUCAGAUGUCAACUAUGAGCCUGAUAUCACUCAAGAAGGCAGUGAAAAGUCUGUUCACAGUGCCUCCACAAAAAACAGUGGAACAGCCAGCCAUUCAUCUGAAAUACACCAGCUGGAAAUCUGCAUUUGUCGGCGGCAGUAGCCUUUAGUGGCACAUCUUACAUACAGAUCCAUAAGGUCCUGUCAGCUCUGUCUGGAAUGCAUUUGUCAUCAAAAGGUCUUUCUCCAGCCAACAAUCUUGUGGCACUGGAGGUCUGAACAAAAUACAAUUUUGGAGAGGGUAAAGUGUUCUGGAAAUGCUGUUGUCUUGGAUGGUGACAUGAGAGCUGAUUCAACAGGAGUAAUGUGUUUAUGGAGGAAUCACAGCAGUGGGAGGAUCCUCUGAUGCAGCUGUGACAGAAUCCUCUUGGAUCAGAGCAGCUUUAGCAGGAACCUCUGGGAGCAGGGAGGUUGAGAGAGGAGCUCUGGGACUGAAGCAGCCUUGAACACCAGCUCUGGCUGAAGCUACGACCGCAAACACUGGGACGGCCUUGACUGGAACUACUUUGCUGUUCUUUACCAUCAUGAGAGGAACCUUUGUAGUGGACAGGACGGGCGUCAGUGUGACUCGGUCAAUCAUGUCAGAAACCUCUUCUGGGAGUGCACUUCAGGCCGGGACAAGAAGCUCUGGAACCAGUGGCUCUGGAAAGGUACCCUGUGGAGUGACCUCUGUGGUGCCUGUGACUCUGAUCUCUCUGACCUCAGCAGAUUCUGGAGCAGCAGCAUUCACAUUGUUUUCGGAAGUGGCCCUGAUUUCUUUGGGACUCAUUUGUCCGUGGCAGGAACUUUAGGAUCAGACACAACCGAGGCCUGCCAGCCCCGCAAGACGCUAAAGCUGGAGAGAUGGAGGGGUCACCUGUCCCAGACCUCCAGACACAAGACUGACCCUCUUCACCAGGACCUGAAACACAAUGAGAAAUUAUACAAAUUACACAAACAUACUUCAUAAGGUAUAAAAAUACAUCUGACAUCAUGUGCAGUGUAUAUGGAUUGACUAUAUACUAGGGGUUGCACCGACUAGUCGACUUCAAUGCUCUGCCAUGAUGCUUUAAGCUUGAC